AAUUAAUGUACUUUUCCUGCACCAUGAGGAAAACUUUCGUCUUAAAUAAAUGCUUCUACUAUAUUUGUUAAGGAGCAUUAGUUUGCAAAAUGUGUUUGUUAAAUGAGAUUGUUGAAUGUAACGGCUUAUAUUUCAAACUAUGGCCUUUCACUUUUCUGUAUUAUUUGAUUUUCAAAAUCCAUUUCCCUCUUUUAAGGAGUGUACAGUUAUGUUCUCUGUCACUUGCAUAAAAUAUUUGCAUAAGACAAUACUGACAUCACAUUUUUUAGUGCCUAUUAAACUUGUUAAACUUGUCUCUCUCAAAUGAUAUAAUGAUGUGCGAUUUAAGAUACUGAUUAUAGAUCAGGUUGUGGCCACAAACCAGCAAUUUGGUUUCCCCUAAUUGUUCAUGCAAUAACUGAUGCAGUGGAGCUGCCUUUGACCGUAAUGAACCCCUUUGGAGGCCUAUAUUGAGAUGAACCGGGGCCAACUAUGGUUGGUUGGUUCAGUAGAAUAUGUAAAAACUAGGAAGCUUUUUAUUUUAUUUGGAAAAAUUGUAUGUAAUCUUUUAUUUGGGUAGGAUAUGUAGGAAGAGUUUAUUUAAUUUUGGAGUUGUUUUUGGUUAGAACUCUUAGUAGAGUUGUUUCCUUGUUAAGAGUCUUUUUCUUUUUUUAUUUGUAUUCUUAUAACCCAAUGCGUUGGAAAGAUUUGAUGGAAUGAAAGUCUUUGGGUUUACCUCCUGGUUGUGGAGUUGAGACCAGGUUGGUUGAAGGCGAUCUCUUCUUCCCUUCUUACUUUCUUCCUUGCAAUCUGGUUCCUGUUCUCUUCCUUUCUUUUUCUUCUUCAUAUUUCUUUUUCCUAUUACUUUACCCUGUCCGGCAGCACCUACGACCAGUUAACAUUGGCCGUAGGUCCCUCUUCUCCCUCCCCCUUUCAACCUAGGUUUAGGUCGAAGGAAGCCCUCCCCUUUGGGCAACCCGGUCUGUAGAAUUUCAGUACCAAAUCCCAUUCUGCCAUAAGAUAUGAACCUGUAAUCAAACCUGAGUGUUGUUUUACUCCCAACUCCCAAGGGCAGUUUCAGAUCUCUGAGACCCUUGUUUUGCUUUCUGUUUUGGAAGACCACGAUGUUCUUCGUUAGACUAUUACUUGUGAUUGUGAUUCCUCCCCUUCAGUUUCAGAUUGAUCCAUGGCUAUUGGUAGAGAUUUUUCACAAAGAUUUGAGUCUGGUUUCUGUCCCUGGUUUAUAUCUCAAGGUUGAAGACGAAUUUGUCCCCCCACAAUGUAACCACUUAUAUCCCUUAUUUCCCUUUUUACUCCCCUUAUGUCAUUCUGUUUUGUCCUUUUUUCUAAGUUUGUCCCAAGAUACUAAGGUAUCCUUGGCCUUUCAAUUUUAUUAUCUCUAUGUCUUGAUUUCAUUCUUUGUUUGAAGAUGUCCUAUAUUAUUCCAUAUAAUUAGAAGAUUGCCAUUGUCCCUGUUAUAUAGGAGUUGCUUAACGCUUGGAUGGGCCCAUAGCGAACCCAAAUUGGGUUUCGUGAUCCAGGCUCCAGCCGCUCCACAUCAAUAACUGGCCGGGUCUAUGCUUUAUGGUUGAACCUGUUGAUAUCAGUUAGGCAUGAAUCCUGGCUGAUUCAUCUGAGUCAUUCGUGUAUUUAAUAAAACAAUGGGUGAUUUAUGGGCAAACGAUGCUCAAACUCAUGAAUUCCUUGAAACUAAGUUGACAAGGUAAUUGACCGCUAUUAUCAUUCUCAGAUGAAUGCUUCAUUUAUGUAUUCUUGUUAGAAAAUGUGUGUAAGGGCAAAAGGAGACUUGACAUAAACUGUUGAAACUAGGGCCUCAUUUGGCAACAAUUUUCGCUUUGCAGGAGCUUGCAAGAAAGAUCAUUUUUAAAAAUUAAAAUGCUUCUCAAUUUAUAUUUUUUUGCUCUCAUGAAGUUAAAAAAGUGGCAGAAACACUCCUCCCGAGUGUUAACAAAUGUGUCCUAGGAUGAGCAAUUGCUUCACCACUGUGCUGCACACUGUUUUAAGCUCACUAUUUUCUUGCAAAAGGUUUUCUAGAGUCUGGACUACUCUCCUACUAGACUUAGCAGGAUGGUUGCUCAAUCCAAGACAUAAGUCAGAAUUCAGGUAGUGCCUAAAAGACUGGGCUGCCUGAUUUGUGAGCUAUGUGGAGGACAGGAGGACUGAUAUGAUGAAUCUGAACAGUGGAUUGAUACCCUCUGGAUUGUGGAUUGGUGCAGUUUUCCUGCAAACAUCUGGAUGCAGUUAAUAUUAAUGAUACUGUUAAUGCAGAUAUUUUCAGCUUCUGCUAGGGAAAAAGAACUACAAGCUCAAGUGAUUUAUCUGCAGCAAAGCAUCGAAAGUCUAGUUGAAGAGUUGCAGAGACUGAAGAUGGUAAAUUCUCAGUUAGAAAGGAAUUUGAAUGGUCGGCAGAACAAGCGGGAUGAGAGGAUUGAGAGAGCAUGAAGGCAGUCAUGAGACUCUUGACACUCCCAGUCAAUUUUGGUUUCCAGAGCGGAGUACCAUUGAUCCAUCCAACUUUCAUGACAUGAACUAGUCUUCAUGAUCUGCAUUAAAACUGUCUACAUCCCAGUGGUUUGCAGCUGGAAAGGCAGUUUAAUGCCGUGAAAGAAGCAAAGUGGGGGAGGGGGUUGAGAAAAAGAGGAGCAGCUAUGACACUCCCAAGUACCAAUCCAUCUUCGUUCUUUCAUCAGAAAUAUCUUAUUUGGA